AAGAAGAGACGCAAGCAAGGCUAGGGCUCCAAAAUUUUCCAAGUUUAAUUGGUUAGUAAAUUUAGUCUAUUUCUUGAAAUCUUCAUGUUUUUGGAAUCCUAGUACUAAGUAUUACUCGAUUCAUGUUGAAAUUUUAGCAUUGAUUGAGUUUUUAAAGGUUGUUAAUGUUGAAUAAUUUUAGUAUUAAUGAUUAAAUUGAUAGAUUUUAAGCUAAAAGUAAAAAAGAAUUAAAUUUUAGAAUAGAUUCUAAAAUUUGAGUAAUAGGGAUUAAAUUGUAAAAUUUUCAAAAUUUAGGGAUUUAAGUGAAAAUAAGAAGUUAAAUUUAGUUUAAAAUGGAAUUUGUAUGAAAAUAUAUAAUUAAAUGUGAAGAAUAAAAAUUAGUCUUGGUUUAGGGGCUAAAUUAAAAUUUAGGCAAAUAUUGAGUAAAAAUUAAAAUAUUCAAUAUGAAAUUGAAUUAUGUUGUAUUGAUCAAUUUUCAUUGUUUUAAUUCCGUAGCUAACAUCAUACCGGAAUCCUCGAUUAAAAAAGGAAAAGAUAAGGUCGACGUCGAAUAGUUCGGAAUUAUUGGUUUGUAUUUCUAUAAUCUGAAUUAAGUUGUAAAAUUAUUGCAUUUUAAUUUCUUGUAUAUGGUAAGUAUUGAAGGUGAAAACUAUUGUGUUUUACGAUUGAAAUUGAUUGAUUCAGUAAGUGAUAAAUUUAUUAAAUUUAUAUGAAUUGAAUUAAAUUCAUAUGUAUACAUGUGAUAAUGUGAUUAUAUGAAAAUUUGAUAUUGGAUAUUGGUUAUAUUUGAAAAGUGAAUUGGAACUCUAUUAACUGUAUUGGGCUAGUCGGAUAUAAAUGGCAUGUCAUAGGAUAGGAAGAGUUCAGGAAUUUAUUUGACUUUGAUUCGAUGAGGCACUAGGUGCCAAUUUACUUCGGUUUAACCGAUGGGACACUAGGUGUCAAUGUAUAUAGUGCUGGGCGCAUAUUACUUCGGAUUUAUCCGAUGAGACAUUGAGUGCCAAACAUGUGUGUUGGUUAAAUCCGUGUAUUCGUCCGAAUUUGAGUCGCGUUAAUAGGGUAAUUAAAUAAAACGAUACUAUGAUUGAUAUUGGAUGAUAUUGCAUGUGAAUUGAAAAUGAGAUAGUGAAUUGAAACAUGAAAAUGAGAUACAUGAAUUAUGUAUUCAUGAAUUGGAUAUGUAAUAGAUCAUGUUAUGUGGAUCAAAUUGUGAAAAGCUAUUAUAUAGCAAGUGACGAGAAUUGAGUCUGGUAUGAAAUGGUGUAUUUAUGAAUUGAGUAUUAAAUGGCUAAUGUCAUUGCAUGAAUAAAUGUGGUUUUAAUUAUUCAAUUGUCCUUAUAAUUAAUAUGUCCAUAUUAUAUUAUUAUAUUUUUAAAUAUUCGGAUUAUAGAAAUAUCACUGAGUUUUACUCAGCAUACGAUUUUGUUUUUCGUGUACAGAUUAGGUUCUUAACUUUUGAUCGCCAAUUCAGCAUCCAACAACGAUCCUAACCUCAAAUGUAGUGAUGUUUACCUUUUGUGUUGGC
rnacentral:lncRNA from 1 species